GAGGGUGAUCGGCCACAUUGGAACUGAGACACGGUCCAAACUCCUACGGGAGGCAGCAGUGGGGAAUAUUGCACAAUGGGCGAAAGCCUGAUGCAGCAACGCCGCGUGAGUGAUGAAGGCCUUCGGGGCGUAAAACUCUGUCCUCAAGGAAGAUAAUGACGGUACUUGAGGAGGAAGCCCCGGCUAACUACGUGCCAGCAGCCGCGGUAAUACG
rnacentral:rRNA from 1 species